AUUGAACGCUGGCGGCAGGCCUAACACAUGCAAGUCGAACGAGUGGCGGACGGGUGAGUAAUGUCUGGGAAACUGCCUGAUGGCGGGGGAUAACUACUGGAAACGGUAGCUAAUACCGCAUACCAUCAGAUGUGCCCAGAUGGGAUUAGCUUGUUGGUGGGGUAACGGCUCACCAAGGCGACGAUCCCUAGCUGGUCUGAGAGGCUGACCAGCCACACGGGGACUGAGACACAGGCCAGACUGCUACGUGAGGCAGCAGUGGGGAAUAUGGCACAAUGGGCGCAAGCCGGAUACAGCCAUGCCGCGUGUAUGAAGAAGGCCUUGGGGUUGGAAAGUACUUUCAGCGGGGAGGCGUUAACCGCAGAAGAAGCACCGGCUAACUCCGUGCCAGCAGCCGCGGUAAUUC
rnacentral:rRNA from 1 species